rnacentral:lncRNA from 1 species
CUGGGAUUCCUUUAUGAGGUGCAACCAAAACAGCUGUUUGACAUAGCAACAGGGAUAUUCUGUCAAGGUGUCUCUCUAGCAUUUGUUCUUAAUACCGUUGUGGUUUUGAUCACUAAAAUGGCUGUGACUUUUGGACUCUCGUUGAGGUAAUUCUUAUGGGCAUCCUGCCUACACUGGACCUGAACCAAUUGGAUCCUAUGCCCAAGCAAGUGUGGUGCGUAGUCCAAAUGCUAAAGCUUCUGGCCCCAAUGCCACGUCAGCAGAAGCUACUGGCCCCAAUGCCACGUCAGCAGAAGCUACUGGCCCCAAUGCCACGUCAGCAGAAGCUACUGGCCCCAAUGCCACGUCAGCAGAAGUUACUGGCCCCAAUGCCACGUCAGCAGUUACUGGCCCCAAUGCCACGUCAGCAGAAGCUACUGGCCACAAUGCCCCGUCAAGUGUGAAGUCUGGCCCCGGCGCCUCGGCAGACGCGUCCGGCCCCGGCGCCUCAGCAAUAGCGUCCGGCCCCGGCGCCUCAGCAAUAGCGUCCGGCCCCGGCGCCUCAGCAGAAGCGUCCGGCCCCGGCGCCUCAGCAGAAGCGUCCGGCCCAGGCGCCUCAGCAGAAGCGUCCGGCCCCGGCGCCUCAGCAGAAGCGUCCGGCCCCGGCGCCUCAGCAGAAGCGUCCGGCCCCGGCGCCUCAGCAGAAGCGUCCGGCCCCGGCGCCUCAGCAGAAGCGUCCGGCGCCUCAGCAGAAGCGUCCGGCGCCUCAGCAAUAGCGUCCGGCCCCGGCGCCUCAGCAGAAGCGUCAAGCCUUUAACAGACCGCCCGACCACUCAACUAGGGAGAUCAUAAUUUGGUUUGCAUAACUCCUUAAUUGUCGUUCCCCUGUUACUGUGCCUCCCUUUAGAAGAAAAGGUAACUGAGGUGGGGAAAUGUGCCAACUAAUGCUCUUGUUUGAAAUGAGGAUCUCCUUCACUUGUCCAGCGUCAUGCAAAUUGUUUACAGGGGUGGACGCUACAAUGGACUAAAAUUGACUUCUGACUUGCCAAUAUUGCUGACACACUUUGGUUCUAUGGUUAUGCUUUUGAUUUAGCCUGGUGUUCCUGCUACUCUUCCAUGAUCUGCUCAAUAAACAAUUUGACUUUCAAUAUACCUUGUCCUUAAAAUAUAAUAUUCUCUUCUGC